rnacentral:lncRNA from 1 species
AUGGGUGUUUUUUUUUUUAAUAUUUUACAAUGGGUUUUAUGUUUUUUAUGUUGUAGAGACAAAUAUUCCGUGACAUUCCGUACUUUCAGGCUAACACGAUUAACUUUCUCAAUUAAUUGUUACUCAUAUAUGUUUUGUUAACAUACAAGUUAUUAGCACACGUACAAACACACGAAGUUAAAUUGAUUAACUUUCCCACACGAGGGACUUGUGUUGUCAUUAUAUAAAGUUAUUCUAAGAUAGCUUUCUACCCAAGUCUUGGUAACUAGAAACUUGAGGGGCUAAUUGUGCAUUUUUAAUUAAAAAAAACAAACGUUUUAUAUUUCCCAACCCUAGACCGCCCCCACCCCAUUCGUACAUCCCUCUCUCUCUUUUAUAUCUCUCUUGGUGUUUGGCAUCACAAGUUAUACGUGUUUUACUAUAUGCAACUCUUGAAUACUUGAAAACACGAUGCAUGAAAACUAGGGUUUUGCUAGAAUUAAGAUUUUGGUGGUUUAUGUACUUUGUUAAUUUGUAUGUAUACAUGUAUGCGGGUAGGGAUUGUUGUUUGGAUUAAUAGCAUGAUGUGCAUGAGA